GCCCUCGUAGCUUAAUGGAUAAAGCAUUGGCUUACCGCACCAAAAGAUGGGAGUUCGAGUCUCCCCGAGGGCUCCA
rnacentral:tRNA from 1 species